rnacentral:rRNA from 1 species
GACGAACGCUGGCGGCGUGCCUAAUACAUGCAAGUCGAACGCAGUGGGGACGGGUGAGUAACACGUGGGUAACCUCCCAUCAGAGGGGAUAACACUUGGAAACAGGUGCUAAACCGAUACUGAUGGAUGGACCCGCGGUGCAUUAGCGAGUUGGUGAGGUAAGGGCUCACCAAGGCCACGAUGCAUAGCCGACGGGGGUGGGGGAGCGGCCAAAGGGGGACGGAGACAGGGCCAAGACUCCUACGGGAGGCAGCAGGAGGAAAUCUUCGGAAAUGGACGAAAGUCUGACCGAGCAACGCCGCGUGAGGGAAGAAGGUUUUCGGAUCGUAAAUCUCUGUUGUUAGAGAAGCGGUAUCUAACCAGAAAGCCACGGCUAACUACGUGCAAGCGGCCGCGGUAAUA